rnacentral:rRNA from 1 species
GGGCCCGCACAAGCGGUGGAGCAUGUGGUUUAAUUCGAUGCAACGCGAAGAACCUUACCAGCCCUUGACAUCCUCGGAACUUGGUAGAGAUACCUUGGUGCCUUCGGGAAUCGAGUGACAGGUGCUGCAUGGCUGUCGUCAGCUCGUGUCGUGAGAUGUUGGGUUAAGUCCCGCAACGAGCGCAACCCUUGUCCCUAGUUGCCAGCACUUCGGGUGGGAACUCUAGAGAGACUGCCGGUGAUAAACCGGAGGAAGGUGUGGAUGACGUCAAGUCAUCAUGCCCCUUACAUCCUGGGCUACACACGUACUACAAUGGUCGGUACAGAGGGCCGCAAUCCCGCGAGGGGGAGCCAAUCCCACAAAGCCGGUCUCAGUUCGGAUUGGAGUCUGCAACUCGACUCCAUGAAGCUGGAGUCGCUAGUAA